rnacentral:rRNA from 1 species
AUUGAACGCUGGCGGCAGGCCUAACACAUGCAAGUCGAACGAGUGGCGGACGGGUGAGUAAUGUCUGGGAAACUGCCUGAUGGAGGGGGAUAACUACUGGAAACGGUAGCUAAUACCGCAUACCAUCAGAUGUGCCCAGAUGGGAUUAGCUAGUUGGUGGGGUAACGGCUCCCCAGGGCGACGCUCCCUAGCUGGUCUGAGAGGAUGACCAGCCACACUGGACCUGAGACACGGUCCAGAAUACUACGGGAGGCAGAAGUGGGAAAUAUUGGACAAUGGGCGAAAGCCUGAUCCAGCCAUGCCGCGUGUGUGAAGAAGGUCUUCGGAUUGUAAAGCACUUUAAGUUGGGAGGCGUUACCAACAGAAUAAGCACCGGCUAACUUCGUGCCAGCAGCCGCGGUAAUAC